AGAGUUUGAUCCUGGCUCAGGACGAACGCUGGCGGCGCGCUUAACACAUGCAAGUCGAGCGAGAACCAGGCCUUCGGGCCCGGGGAAAGCGGCGAACGGGUGAGUAACACGUGGGUAACCCACCCUUGGUAUCGGGAUAGCCCGGGGAAACCCGGAUUAAUACCGGAUGGCUCAACAGCUCUUCGGGGCGGUUGGAAAAGGUAGCUUCGGCCUCCGACCAAGGACGGGCCCGCGGCGGAUUAGCUUGUUGGUGGGGUAACGGCCCACCAAGGCGACGAUCCGUAGCUGGUCUGAGAGGACGAUCAGCCACACUGGGACUGAGACACGGCCCAGACUCCUACGGGAGGCAGCAGUGGGGAAUCUUGCGCAAUGGGCGAAAGCCUGACGCAGCGACGCCGCGUGGGGGAAGAAGGCUUUCGGGUUGUAAACCCCUUUCAGGAAGGACGAAGCCACUCGGGUGAAUAGCCCAGAGGGUGACGGUACUUCCAGAAGAAGCCCCGGCUAACUACGUGCCAGCAGCCGCGGUAAU
rnacentral:rRNA from 1 species